rnacentral:tRNA from 1 species
AUCAACAUAAGCUUCAAACUUGACCAGUACUCAAUAAUAUUUAUACCAAUCGCUCUAUAUGUCACAUGAU